CCUACGGGCGGCUGCAGUGGGGAAUAUUGCACAAUGGGGGAAACCCUGAUGCAGCGACGCCGCGUGAGUGAAGAAGUAAUUCGUUAUGUAAAGCUCUAUCAGCAGGGAAGAAAAUGACGGUACCUGAGUAAGAAGCCCCGGCUAACUACGUGCCAGCAGCCGCGGUAAUACGUAGGGGGCAAGCGUUAUCCGGAUUUACUGGGUGUAAAGGGAGCGUAGACGGCAGUGCAAGUCUGGAGUGAAAGGCGGGGGCUCAACCCCCGGACUGCUCUGGAAACUGUACGGCUGGAGUGCGGGAGAGGUAGGUGGAAUUCCUAGUGUAGCGGUGAAAUGCGUAGAUAUUAGGAGGAACACCAAUGGCGAAGGCAGCUUACUGGACUGUAACUGACAUUGAGGCUCGAAAGCGUGGGGAGCAAACAGGAUUAGAUACCCCGGUAGUC
rnacentral:rRNA from 1 species